GGAAUUUUAGGGAAGAGGAUGCUACAAAAUCAAAGAGCUGAGGCUCAUAGUUAUUACUGAUGAGUAAGAAUGGCAACUGCUGUUUUCAAAAGUUGGGUCUUGUUUUUGCCUCUUCACUGAGGUCUCCCAGAUAGGGCUUCAGGGCCUGAGUCAAUGACACACCAUUCCGACAACAUGCUGGCAAAGGCUUCUUUGGGCUUUCAGUCAGGCUGAUGCAGGCUGCCAGCUCCAUCUCCUUUUAACGCUAAUUAGCUAAUGGCCCGAUGCGCUGAAGUGCAGGAAAUGAAAGGGAGUCGGUCCUGACAUUCAAAUGCUGUAACUGGGGGAACAUUAGCCUGCAGCUCACCGUUCCUAACAGCUCACUGCCUUCCCAUUCGGGCUCGGGCAGCCAGGCAGUGGUCUCCUGUCACUAGUCUCAAACGGACACAUUCAAACUCUCCCAAGAGACAGCCUUGGCAGCCUCGAGAUUUCUGCAGAGAGGGCCCGGUAAAAGCUGGAAUGCCCAACUCAGCAUCUAGCAUAGAGACUGAGUCACUUUUGCAGAGGCCAAAGAAACAACAGUAUAGACGGUCCUGAUGAUCACGAGCUACAUAUUGUUACUUCUGAACUCUCACUGGGAAGUAAACCAUUUGAAGAGUGUUUAAAAAAACUCAACAUCAUGAGUCACACACAUUCACAUAACUGAGGACAAACAGAAACAAUCCAAACAUCUGUCAACAGAAGAAUGGCUAAUAGACUAAGGCAGCAUGGAAUGAACCAAAGGGAUCCUUCUAAGAGUUCCACAAUUAGCAGACCCACUCUACAAACCAUUGGUAAGCACAUCUAGCAUAAUCCUAAGAGCAACCUCUGUCUGUUGAAGAGCUCAGCCCUCCACGUUGCUUCUGGCCCCCACCUCCUCCUCAACCCUGUGAGCUGUGGGGAGGGCCCAGCAGAGGCAGCAGCGUGAUGACUGGCCUUCUGAGUGGAAGUCCCACCCCACCCUUUGCGGGUGUGGAGCUCGACAACAGG